AAUGAGCUUUUUACCUAUCUGAGAGAAUGUUAGUUAUUUACAACCGCAUAAAGUGUAAACAGACAUAAAAAUAUCUUUAGAACAUUGCCUUCAUAAAUCACUUACUUCAAGCAUUUAACAAAAAAAAUAUUUUGAUUAUACGAAUUGCUUAUUCCAAGAAAAAAUCUUGGAAGUGAGUUUUUGGCAUGUGUUUUAAUGACAUCUAUACUGUUAUUGUAUAACAUCAUGAUCAAUUGUUGUUUUUGUGAUAAUUAAAAUCCACUGAUAUUGGAAGAUGAAAUUUGUUUUUAAAAGCAAUCGAUUAAAAAAAUAAUUAUAAAUCCAAUAGUAAAGUGUUCAUCAUGCCGAACUUGAUAAUUAUAGAAUAUCCUUUUCUACCAUCCUGCCAAAAAAGGUUCAAGACUCUCAAUGCCUAUACACAAAAUUUGCUCAAUGAAAUCAUCGGAUCGCUGAUCAUGCUCAUUUUUCACCAGUUCCUAUUCCUGGAGAAAAGAGUGAUGUUUUCCCGAUUAGAUGUUCUCCGGACUUCACCCUC